AACGAACGCUGGCGGCAUGCCUAACACAUGCAAGUCGAACGAGACCUCCGGGUCUAGUGGCGCUCGGGUGCGUAACGCGUGGGAACCUGCACUUAGGUUCGGAAUAACUCCCCGAAAGGUGUGCUAAUACCGGAUAAUGUCUUCGGACCAAAGAUCUAUCGCCUUUGGAUGGGCCCGCGUUGGAUUAGCUGGUUGGUAGGGUAAAAGCCUACCAACGCGACGUUCCAUAGCUGGUCUGGGAGGAUGAUCAGCCACACUGGGACUGAGACACGGCCCAGACUGCUACGGGAGGCUGCAGUAGGGAAUAUUGGACAAUGGGCGAAAGCCUGAUCCAGCAGUGCCGCGUGAGUGAUGAAGGCCUUAGGAUUGUGAAGCUCUUUUACCCGGGAUGAUAGUGACAGUACCGGGUGAAGAAGCUCCGGCUAACUCCGUG
rnacentral:rRNA from 1 species